rnacentral:rRNA from 1 species
AAGGCGAAAAGAACCCCGGCGAGGGGAGUGAAAAAGAACCUGAAACCGUGUACGUACAAGCAGUGGGAGCCUCUUUAUGGGGUGACUGCGUACCUUUUGUAUAAUGGGUCAGCGACUUAUAUUCUGUAGCAAGGUUAACCGAAUAGGGGAGCCGAAGGGAAACCGAGUCUUAACUGGGCGUUAAGUUGCAGGGUAUAGACCCGAAACCCGGUGAUCUAGCCAUGGGCAGGUUGAAGGUUGGGUAACACUAACUGGAGGACCGAACCGACUAAUGUUGAAAAAUUAGCGGAUGACUUGUGGCUGGGGGUGAAAGGCCAAUCAAACCGGGAGAUAGCUGGUUCUCCCCGAAAGCUAUUUAGGUAGCGCCUCGUGAAUUCAUCUCCGGGGGUAGAGCACUGUUUCGGCAAGGGGGUCAUCCCGACUUACCAACCCGAUGCAAACUGCGAAUACCGGAGAAUGUUAUCACGGGAGACACACGGCGGGUGCUAACGUCCGUCGUGAAGAGGGAAACAACCCAGACCGCCAGCUAAGGUCCCAAAGUCAUGGUUAAGUGGGAAACGAUGUGGGAAGGCCCAGACAGCCAGGAUGUUGGCUUAGAAGCAGCCAUCAUUUAAAGAAAGCGUAAUAGCUCACUGGUCGAGUCGGCCUGCGCGGAAGAUGUAACGGGGCUAAACCAUGCACCGAAGCUGCGGCAGCGACACUAUGUGUUGUUGGGUAGGGGAGCGUUCUGUAAGCCUGUGAAGGUGUACUGUGAGGUAUGCUGGAGGUAUCAGAAGUGCGAAUGCUGACAUAAGUAACGAUAAAGCGGGUGAAAAGCCCGCUCGCCGGAAGACCAAGGGUUCCUGUCCAACGUUAAUCGGGGCAGGGUGAGUCGACCCCUAAGGCGAGGCCGAAAGGCGUAGUCGAUGGGAAACAGGUUAAUAUUCCUGUACUUGGUGUUACUGCGAAGGGGGGACGGAGAAGGCUAUGUUGGCCGGGCGACGGUUGUCCCGGUUUAAGCGUGUAGGCUGGUUUUCCAGGCAAAUCCGGAAAAUCAAGGCUGAGGCGUGAUGACGAGGCACUACGGUGCUGAAGCAACAAAUGCCCUGCUUCCAGGAAAAGCCUCUAAGCAUCAGGUAACAUCAAAUCGUACCCCAAACCGACACAGGUGGUCAGGUAGAGAAUACCAAGGCGCUUGAGAGAACUCGGGUGAAGGAACUAGGCAAAAUGGUGCCGUAACUUCGGGAGAAGGCACGCUGAUAUGUAGGUGAAGUCCCUCGCGGAUGGAGCUGAAAUCAGUCGAAGAUACCAGCUGGCUGCAACUGUUUAUUAAAAACACAGCACUGUGCAAACACGAAAGUGGACGUAUACGGUGUGACGCCUGCCCGGUGCCGGAAGGUUAAUUGAUGGGGUUAGCGGUAACGCGAAGCUCUUGAUCGAAGCCCCGGUAAACGGCGGCCGUAACUAUAACGGUCCUAAGGUAGCGAAAUUCCUUGUCGGGUAAGUUCCGACCUGCACGAAUGGCGUAAUGAUGGCCAGGCUGUCUCCACCCGAGACUCAGUGAAAUUGAACUCGCUGUGAAGAUGCAGUGUACCCGCGGCAAGACGGAAAGACCCCGUGAACCUUUACUAUAGCUUGACACUGAACAUUGAGCCUUGAUGUGUAGGAUAGGUGGGAGGCUUUGAAGUGUGG